AAUAUAUAAUACUGAGAUCUGAUAAAUAAAUAAAAGUUGCUAAUUAUAUUUUUAUAAAAAAUAGGAUAAAUUCAAGCUAGGUUAAAAUUUCGUAAGUUAAAAAGCUAUACAGAAAUGUUUUUAUUUAAAACCUGGAAAAUGGCCUAUAUAUAUAAUAAAAUAGCAAUUCAAUCUGGAGAGUGGGAGUUUUAUAAAAAGUUUGCAUCUCUCUGGUAAAUCUAAAACACUUGGAACCUAAGCAUUUAUGAGAAAUUUUAGCCUGAACUAAAACGUUCAGCACAGAUUAAAAAUCCAAGCAUGGCACAGGAUACAAGUAGCUAGAAUUUAGCUUAAGUCAGGGGAUAGGAGUCUAGCAGACCAGCGGAGAAAGAAAGGAAGAACCUUUAGGGAGAAAAGCCUGAUGCAAGAAAAGAAACACAAAUGGAAAGGUGGGAAGAU
rnacentral:lncRNA from 1 species